CCAGUAUAUCAUUCUCAUACAGACUCUUCCAUAUCACGUAUUUCAGUCUCAUAUGCAGUAAUAUAGGUUGAUACUUUCCAUAUUUGGGCUCCUGUAUCAGCAGGAGGGACAAAGAGAAGUUGGACUUGCUUACCGCUUGCAAACUCUCUCUUCUCAAGAGUUCCUGAUAGGGACACUGAACUUUAAAAGGCAAGAAUCUCCUCCUGAGUUUGUCAAAUGCUAUUCUGAGACCCAAUGUGGAAUACAAUCAUCUUAUCACAUGAUGCUGGCAAAUGGAUUACACAGAACUGAAGACACGUAGGAAGGAUCCUACACAUCUUGGUAAGAGCCAUAUGAGGCAUCUUAACAAUUUCUGAAAAUCUUCCGAUUACCUGCUUAUUCCAGCACCACUUGCUGCUCCCACUCACCAUGCCGGAGGGAUGCUGAUCCAAAGCUUUUGAAAGGUAUGUGAAUAGCUAAAUUUGAUGUCAUUCAUUAGCAAAGGUAAGAGGGGAUCUGUAGCUGAAUGGCAAUGCUGUGCACCUUUGGCUGAUAGGUGGGGCAAGCUAACUCCAUGGAGUGUUCUGUUAGAAGGAUACCAGGUGGAUGGCUGGUGAAGACGGCAGGAAUUUUUGGUUCCCACAUCCAGUCAGAGCAGAAAGUACUAGGCAGGAUGGACUAAUGGUUUGUCUAAUUCAUUACACAUUGUAAAAAUCUUGCUGUCUGGCUUAUCUAUUGUGGGUCUUUUUCCGAUUUUCAUAUUUCUUCUCAAUCUCAAUUUUACUUGAGUUUUAUUUUAUUCACUUUUGUUAAAAAUCACAUUUUAAUAAUAAUAAAAAAACAGAUACCUUCCCAAUUCACUCUGGCUUUUGUUUUCCUAAACACAAGAGCUGUUCAACUCCUUCUCCCACUCCUCCUCUUCUCCUCCACCCAACCAUUCUACCCUCAAUGUCUGCAACACGAGAGGUUAGUGGUCUGAGGUCCAGAACUUCAAUCAUCCCCAUAAUACUUUGGAAUGCUUUUGUCUAUCAUCAUUACAUAUAUAGUUACUUUCCCCAUAAAAUCAGUUUUGGUUUUGAUGCUUUUCUAAGUGUCUCCUCUCACAUGAAACACCCAACUAUUUUCUGCAGAAGUUCAAGCAAGAUAGCUCUGGUGGCAGAUAACAAGGUCCUGGCAUUGCGUUUUUCAGGUUGAGUUUUUUCGGGUUAUGGACGUGCCAAAACCCGGAAGUACUGGAAUGGGUUACUAUUCGGUUUCGACGGUUGCGUGUGCACAGAAGCACUAAAUCGUGCUUUGGGCAUGCGCAGAAGAACCGAAUCGCAACCCACGCAUGCGAAGACGCACCACUGCAGGUUGCAAAUACUGCGGGUUACAAACGUGCAUCUUGCACGGAUCAAGUUCCCAAUCCAAGUGUCCACUAUACACCAUUCUCAUACAGAGUCUUCUAUAUCACAUAUUUAAGUCUCAUGUGCAGUAGUAUCAAGUUGAUACUUCCCAUGUUUGGGCUCCUGUAUCUCAAACUAUACCACCACUAAGAACCAGGUGGAAGGGGACAUGAUGUAGGUCUCUCUCUCUCUCACACACACACACACACAGAGAGAGAGAGAGAGAGAGAGAGAGAGAGAGAGAAAUACCAUCUCUUGUUCUGGCUAGAUUGCAGCCUUAUUCAGAUUGAGCAUUUAUUUUUUUCCUCUGCCAGGACUUCAACCGCCCAUAAACUGGACCGUGACAGGUAUUUGUUCUACUCUGAACUCAGUAACUUAUUAUUAUAAAUCUACUUGUUAAUAUCCACAGAUUGUAUAUCUCUGGGGAGACAGAGAGGUAAACCCUCUUUCCAUUAUUUUCAAUGGCAGAAUUAUAUAUUAAUAUUAUUUUUUGAAUUCAUAUAAUGUCCUAUAGCUGGAGGUCUCUGAUGAGUGAUGCUGGCAGUUCUUUGUGGUUCUUUUACUUUGUUCUUGGCUAUUAUUAUUUAUUAUUAUUAUUAAUAAUAAUAAUAAUAAUAAUAAUAAUAAUAAUAAUAUCUGCUAUACCAGCUUAUGCAGUGACAGUGGUGGGGCUCCCUGACCGAAAGUCAAGCAUUUUUCUAAUUAAAAAUUCCCAUUGGCCAUACUCCAUAAGCUCGGAGAGUGGAGAAAAUAAAUAUUUGUCGUAAGCUCACCUAACUCUGCUCCACUUCCCACUGAUCCUGAAGCCAUCGUACAACAUAUAUAUAUAUAUAUAUAUAUAUAUAUAUAUAUAUAUAUAUCACAAACAUAAAACACAUCAUAAGUCAUGAAGGGAAACUGAAGAGUUGGCCUUUAUGAAGAGCUUGUUUUAUGAAUUAUUUUCUUAUUAUGAUGUGUCUUGUGUUUGAUACACCCUUGUAUGCAUAUCAUUUAUUGUGUACUCACAAUGCUGUUAACUGGCUUGAACAUGGGAAGAUAAAGGUAAAACAUGGCAUCAUCAGUAAGGAUAUUUUUGUAUCCUGGUUGCCUGGUUCCUUCUGCCUAGAACUUGCUUACCCACUUUCCUUAAGAACUCCUUUGUAUGACAUGAAGCUUUAGAAGUUAACAUUCUCCUCCUACAGAAGCCAUAUUGAUAACCAAUGGUGGGGGGAAAUCUUACCACGUGAUAUUGAGAAGCUGCUGAAGAACAGAUAAAAAUUAGUGGCUGGAGCGCUGAACAUCUAGCUGGAAGCUUGACGAAACACCUGCUGUUUCUUUGGAGUUACAUUCAUUUCUGAAAAUGCUCUGUCCCCCUACUUUUAUCAGCACAGAAUAUUCUACUUCCUUCUGCCUUCCACACACCAUCUCCUAAGCGGGGGGGGGGGGUCAAUAACUGGGCUCCUCUUAAACUGAUUCAUUUUGGACUUGAACAAACUAAUUGCCCCAGCACAAUGCUCUAAUGCGCUUAUCCAACCCACUGGCAGCAAGCAGCUCACCCAUUCUAAAAGUGACAUCAACAGCUAACAGAAUGUCAGCCUAAACAGGGAACACUCACUAUCAGAAUGGCACGAAACAACCAGUGGCUUUUGGGGGGAAAUUACUUUCCUCAAAUCUAGCUCAUGCAGUCUCUCUCUCUCUCUCUCUCUGUGUGUGUGUGUGUGUGUGUGUGUGUGUGAGAGAGAGAGAGAGAGAGAGAGAGAGAGAGAGAGAGAGAGCUCCACAACUCAAACCUACAGCACUCAGUUACGAUGCUUUCAAAAGAUUUUCACUUCUAACUAUAUCUCUCUUGUUCUUUUUUGUUUUUUAACUAAUUUUUAUUCUUUUUCAUUGAAAAUCUUCCAAUUAAUGACAAAUCAAAGCAAAUCAUUCCAUAUUACAAUAAUAGCAGUACCACCAAUUAUAUAUUCUCCACAACCCAACCAAUGUCUACGACACAAGAUAUUAGUUUCUGAUCUGAAGGCUGAGUCAGAGAGCAGAGGAAGAGAAAUUGAGUUCUAAAAUGAUAUGCUUACUGAUGUUGUGAAUGUAGUUUUUUUCACUCAGAGGAAAGAUCCACAACACAUCGGCGAACUCCAUUUCCCUCCAAAGCCUUGGAAACUGAUAAGUUGUGACAAACAUUCCAAAGAACUAUAUUCCUAAAGUGUUUGUUUAUCAGUCAUGAAUUCCCACUAUAGCAUGUCUCUUUUAUUAUUGUUUGAGUGCCUCAGUUUAAUAUGGUUGGGCUUAUAAGCCAAAACUGACUUCACAUUUGUUUAUUUUCUCCAGGUAGGAAGAGCAAUACAAGGAGUAGCUCAAAAGUAGAGAUCCUGCAAGAUGAGCAAUGAUGGCCUGGGAUCCAGGUCCCCUUGGAAUGCCUCAUGGGAAGACAUUGGAGCAGAAAAUCGAACUGACCUCCUAACCUCCCAGGAUGGUUUUGAUCACGAAUCAUCACUAUAUCUUACAGCAGUAAAUAUUCUAUAUUUCUUAAUUCUAGGUAUUAGCAUUUUUGGACUUAUGGGGAAUGGGACUGUCAUCUGGUUUCUUGGUUUUUGCAUGAAGAGGAAUCCUUUCACACUUUCAUACUAAAUCUGGCUGUUGCUGACCUUGGGGCCCUCAUUUGCUUAUCUUCUUAUUUGAUUGUGUAUCUUGUGGUGUCAUUUUCAUCCUUCUCUGUGGAUAUUAACUUGUGUGUACAGUUGUUUGAGUUUUUCUUGUUGUUCAUGUACAACACUGGUCAAUCCCUGUUGACGGCCAUUAGCAUGGACAGGUGUGUUUCUAUUGUUUUCCCCCUUUGGCAUAGAUGCCACCGACCACCACACUUUUCCACCUUUGUGUGUGCCACAAUAUGGAUCAUUUCUUUCCUGUUCUGUGUAAUAGACUUGAUUCUUUUUAUUUUUAAUAUUUUUCUGGAACUCCUUUUCUACCAGCUUCUGUUAAAUGCUGUUCUUUUCCUCCCACUUAUGACUGUCUCCUCUCUGAUCCUGUUUAUAAAAGUUUGGUUUCAAUCACAACAGAGGAAGAAGGGAAAAGCUUUAACAGCCAUCCUACUUGCCCUCAUAAUCUUCCUCUUCUUAGCUUUCCCAUUUACUUGCAUUUCAUUAAUCUAUUUUUUCAAUCCACCUUUGGACUGUCAUGUUUCAUCUUUUAAAGUAUCUGUUGUGUUAUUAUGCACCUGCCUGAAUAGCAGUAUUAACCCACUGAUUUAUUUCCUGAUUGGGAGAAACAAGAGGGCUCAGUCUAGGGAGAGCAUGAAGGUCAUACUCCAGACACUUUUCAAAGAGGAGGAAAACUGCAGAGAGGAACAAGAAGUUCCAGUUCAAACCCAGAUGUGAAGAAAUACUUCAAAAUAGCUCAGAAAGCUUCAUUUUCUAUCUCUUGGUGUAUUUCUUGGUACUUAUUUUCCCCUGUACUCACUAUUUUAUUAUUUUGGAUUCAUUUACUCUGUUAAUUUUUGUCCUCAUUUCUGGAGUAUCGUUAAAAGCCCCAUGGAUUGCCCAUUUGGCAGGAUUAAUGCUUUGUAUGUUUUAGAAAAUUAAAUAAAAAUAAAUGCCGCUUUAACAGUGUGAGUUGAGUGGGAUGACUUGCUAAAUGGUAUAGAAAACAGACUCAUUGCCAAAGGGAAUGAAGUAAAGAAAUCUUCACAUGUAGAGCUCGAAUGUUUGAAGAAAAUAGAAGAAAACAUUUUCUCCAGAUUUUUUUAAAAGUGCAUGAUAGUUAAUUCCACCAGUACAAUCCCUAUUUUCUGUGGUAUUUUUCUAGAAAAAGAACUGCAAAUAUUCAACAUGAAGGCCUCCCUUGUUCUCUUAUAACAGCCAUGGCACCCACCUGAGGCGUGUGGAAAUUGAGCUCUGG